ACAGAAAGUGUCUUUCUGUCUCUUUGCCUCUCUCUUUCUCUCCCGCUCCCAUGAAUCCAGAAUAGCUCUAGAAAACAAUGACCAAAGAAGUGCCAUAAACAAGGCAGAGAUGCUGAGGAGUUCCUGAGAGUUCGAACACAGAGGGACUGGCUGGAUGAAGAAUCCCAGGUAGGAGCUGUCCAUGGUGUUCUAAAGGCAAGGCUCGCAGACAAGGAGCAGAAGGCUUGGAGACAGUUGCUCAGGUGUCUGGGUGCAGAGCUGGCGUCUGAGUAAUUGUCAGGCUCCCUCCUCUUCCCUGACACCUGUCAACAGGGAGGUGGGAGGAAGUCUGCCUCCAGGCUGGAGCAGUGGAGUGGCCAUUGAAUAAUUCUCUGGUGAUGGGGGAUCUGAGAGAAACUGAGGUUCCAGGGGGGACCCCCUACCAUACCCCCACCGCCACAGUAAACAAAAGCAACUGGGGAUACCAUAAUCUCCCCUACAAACAUGAGCAUCCAUCCCAAAUCAGCAAACCAAAAUACAGCAUUCAAUAACUAGGGAACUAACACCCAGGGAGACGCGGCUAGCAGCACAAAGAGAAAAGUAGAAUUAACAUCUUCAGAGGGACAAGUUUAAGAUAGUAACAGUGUGGAAAAGAGCCAGUUACAGGUCUCAGGAAUAAAGCCAUUGAAGUCAGGUUUCAGUGGCAGGCUGAACAGUGAGUGGCCACCUCUGAAGGUGACUUGGUGAAUGUGACCAUGGAAUGAGGAACUCUCCCGGUGCAAUACUGAAGAGGUGGAGAGAAUGAGAGAAAGGUGCUGUACAAGCUCAAGUUUUCUAAGUGCACUGGUGGGCAUUCUAUACAGGGUGUGUGGAGGGGUUCAGAUCCAUGAUUAAGGCACAGCUUGUCAGACAAAGGGUCAUAGUGAGAACACAUUAGAGGAAGGUGCAUUGCUCAGAGAUCUGGGACUAGGAGCUGCUGACGUUAUCUCAAUGUGAUUUGGGUUGUAUCCCUUCGAGGAGGGAAAUGUAUUUUGGAUGUACGUGGGAUGAAAGCAUAAUUUAAGCAAGGAAGAGUUUUGAGAUUUUAUGCAUGGUGAGAGCGUGUGUUUCUCUUCUGAGCAGCCAAGGGGUGGAUUGUAGUCGGCUGUUGCCGCUAUGUUGUGUGCUCUCAGAAUGCCUGCCACCUCCCUUUUCCAGUGAUAUUAGCACCACUUGCCUUGGGAAAACUCUUGUCCCAUUCCAUGUGGUCCUGUUGAACCUACCAAUUAAGGUCCUCCCUUCCCCCACUGGCCACGCUCCCUCCCCCGCCCACACACACGGAGUCACCAGGAUAGCCACAUGGUCCUGGCUGGACUACUAAUGACAUCCUAUUUGCCUAGGGCAGUUGGAAUGUGACCCAAGGCAGACCAACAAUCCUCUCUGAAAAUAUUCUUUAAAUGUGGUGUGGGAGAAACACUGUUUCUUCUGGGAUUGUAUGUCUAGGGUUGCCAGUGGCUGUUUCUUCUGAUGCUUAUAAAAUUUCUGUCUGAAAAAUGGAGCCAGACAUAGAUAGGCAGAGAUAAAAACAAAAAGAAAAUUAAAAAGCUGUUUUGGCAUCACUGGAGGCCCUCAAGCUAGUUGUGCUUAAGAUGGAAAUGUCCACAGCCUGUCUUGUUAAGGAGCAAACCCACCUCUCACCAAACCAGAACACAAAACCCCAAACUUUCUUGCUUUUAACCAUUUUCAGUUGGGUGCCCUUGGGACCAGUAUCAUCAUGACUUAUAUAGGAUCUUUGAAAAUAGUGUUGUAUUUGUAUAUGAAUAUCAUAUCUGAAUAUCUUUCUGAAGUCUCUUCUUGAAUUUUCCAGAUAGAUGUUUACAGUAGCCACGAAGACUUAUAGUUUUAUCCUUUUCUUUCCAAUAUUUACCCUUUGUCUCUUUUUCCUCUUUUUUUUUUUUUGCCUCAUCUAUAAUCCCUAGGAUAUAGAAUGGUAAUAGUGGGCAUAUUUGAUUUGUUUCUAUUUUUUCACUCAUUCACCGUUGAUUUAACAUUAGCUGUGUGGCAGAGGUUGCUCUAGGUCCUAGAAAUACAGAUGUGAACGAGAUGGACAAAGUCUGUCAGAAGCUUUGAGGAGAAACAAGGAUGGGGAGAGUGAAAGUGUAUAGUGGGGAAACUGGAUGCAGCUGUACCCUGGAGAAUAUGAGGUCUUCCUGGAAGAAAUCAUGCCAACGAUACCCUGCAUCUUUUAUAAUGAAAUCUGAUCUUUCCUAUUUGGUUUCUGAUAAAUACUCUAUCAAAGGCAGGUGGGUGUCUUGCAAAACUGACUGAAGAUUUAAGAUUGAGGAGGGCUAUGUCACAGUAUCUCCCAGCAGAUAGCCCCAAGGAAAUGUUUCUAUUCUGGGUGAAUCCUUUGACAGAUGUACAUGUUCUGAAUAUCCUCUCCCACUCCAUGGCUUGCAUUUUCAGUCUCCUGAUGGUGCUUUCUGAUGGAUGGAAAGUCUUCACUUCAAUGUAGUCCAACUUGCCAAUUAUAUUCUUUAUGGUUGAA